rnacentral:rRNA from 1 species
GAUGAACGCUAGCCACAGGCUUAACACAUGCAAGUCGCGGGGCAGCAUGAAUUUAGCUUGCUAAAUUUGAUGGCGACCGGCGCACGGGUGAGUAACGCGUAUCCAACCUUCCCCUGUCCACGGGAUAGCCCGUCGAAAGGCGGAUUAAUACCGUAUGAGGUCACAUGACGGCAUCAGAGUGUGACGAAAGGUUUGGCGGACAGGGAUGGGGAUGCGUCCGAUUAGCUUGUUGGCGGGGUAACGGCCCACCAAGGCUACGAUCGGUAGGGGUUCUGAGAGGAAGGUCCCCCACAUUGGAACUGAGACACGGUCCAAACUCCUACGGGAGGCAGCAGUGAGGAAUAUUGGUCAAUGGGCGAGAGCCUGAACCAGCCAAGUAGCGUGCAGGAUGACGGCCCUAUGGGUUGUAAACUGCUUUUAUGCGGGGAUAACGUGCGCCACGUGUGGUGUAUUGCAGGUACCGCAUGAAUAAGGACCGGCU